GUGCCAGCCGCCGCGGUAAGACGAGGGGUGCAAACGUUAUUCGGAAUGAUUGGGCGUAAAGGGUGCGCAGGCGGCACAUUAAGUCAAUUGUUAAAUUUCCCGGCCUAACCGGGAGUCAGCGAUAGAAACUGGUGUGCUUGAGGGUGGAAGAGAGAAGUGGAAUUCUCGGAGUAGCGGUAAAAUGCGUAGAUCUCGAGAGGAACACCGAUGGCGAAGGCAGCUUCUUGGUCCAUUUCUGACGCUCAUGCACGAAAGCGUGGGGAGCAAACAGGAUUAGAAACCCUGGUAGUCC
rnacentral:rRNA from 1 species